AGUGGACGCUGGCGGUAGGCCUAACACAUGCAAGUCGAACGGCAGCACAGUAAGAGCUUGCUCUUACGGGUGGCGAGUGGCGGACGGGUGAGGAAUACAUCGGAAUCUACUUUUUCGUGGGGGAUAACGUAGGGAAACUUACGCUAAUACCGCAUACGACCUACGGGUGAAAGCAGGGGAUCUUCGGACCUUGCGCGAUUGAAUGAGCCGAUGUCGGAUUAGCUAGUUGGCGGGGUAAAGGCCCACCAAGGCGACGAUCCGUAGCUGGUCUGAGAGGGUGGUGCGCCACACAGGGAAUGUGACACCGUCCCGAUUCCUGAAGGGGGGAGAGGGGGGGAAUAUUGGAAAAUGGGGGCAAGGCGUGACCACGCCAUUCGGGGUGGGUGAAGAGGGCCUUCGGGUUGUAAAGCCUUUUUUUUGGGAAAAAAAAACGGCGGGUUAAACCCCCGUUGUUUGACGGGUACCCAAAGAAAAAACCCCGGUUAACUUGGU
rnacentral:rRNA from 1 species